GAGUUUGAUCGUGGCUCAGAUUGAACGCUGGCGGCAUGCUUUACACAUGCAAGUCGAACGGCAGCGCGGGGAGCUUGCUCCCUGGCGGCGAGUGGCGCACGGGUGAGUAAUACAUCGGAACGUGUCUUCUAGUGGGGGAUAACUGCCCGAAAGGGCAGCUAAUACCGCAUGAGACCUGAGGGUGAAAGCGGGGGAUCGCAAGACCUCGCGCUGGAAGAGCGGCCGAUGUCCGAUUAGCUAGUUGGUGAGGUAAAGGCUCACCAAGGCGACGAUCGGUAGCUGGUCUGAGAGGACGACCAGCCACACUGGGACUGAGACACGGCCCAGACUCCUACGGGAGGCAGCAGUGGGGAAUUUUGGACAAUGGGGGCAACCCUGAUCCAGCCAUGCCGCGUGCAGGAUGAAGGUCUUCGGAUU
rnacentral:rRNA from 1 species